UAGGGAAUCUUCCACAAUGGGUGCAAACCUGAUGGAGCAAUGCCGCGUGAGUGAAGAAGGUCUUCGGAUCGUAAAGCUCUGUUGUUAGAGAAGAACACGUGCUAGGUAACUACUAGCACCUUGACGGUAUCUAACCAGAAAGUCACGGCUAACUACGUGCCAGCAGCCGCGGUAAUACGUAGGUGACAAGCGUUGUCCGGAUUUAUUGGGGCGUUAAAGGGAGCGCAGGCGGUCUGUUUAGUCUAAUGUGAAAGCCCACGGCUUAACCGUGGAACGGCAUUGGAAACUGACAGACUUGAAUGUAGAAGAGGAAAAUGGAAUUCCAAGUGUAGCGGUGGAAUGCGUAGAUAUUUGGAGGAACACCUGGCGGAAAGGAAUAUUUUCGGGCCUAACAUUGACCUGAGGCUCGAAAGCGUGGGGAGCGAACAGGAUUAGAUACCCUGGGAGUCCACGCCGUAAACGAUGAGUGCUAAGUGUUGGGGGCUUUCCAGCCCUCGGUGCUGGAGCUAACGUAUUAAGCACUCCGCCUGGGGAUUACGACCGCAAGGUU
rnacentral:rRNA from 1 species